rnacentral:lncRNA from 1 species
GGGGCUAAAAUUUCUCACCAUCUCUGAUAUCUGGCCGUGCUGGCUGGGGGCUGAUGGGAGACAAAGAGUUAUCUCUGUCUUAACAGGCCUGGAGCUGACAUCUCAAUGAAGAUGCCUGUGUCUCUAAGAACCAUCUUAAGGUCUUGGUGAUUCAAGGCUUGUAAGUAGCACUUUUCUAGCAAAAUAUGGUUUUUCUCCCCCUGAGAGGGGAAAGAAACUGUAGCAAGCGCUUCCAUGGGAGAAUCGACAAAUCUGUUUCAAAGCUUGCACAUAGAAUCACAGAAUUGUAGAUUCUGUGUUAUAGUUAUACUAUUCGGAACCCAACAGGGUCAGUGGAGCGUAUGGUGUCUUUAUAAUAUGUGGUUUAUUUACACAUAUAUACAACCUGAGCCUACGAGGGAGGAGCUCACAGCAUUAACACCUGAGAAGGUCUUGCUUCUCCCAGAGUCACAGCCUUGGAUUCAAGCAGAAAUCAGGCAUGGCUCUCUGUCUACUUGUAGCUUCUAGGUCAAGCACACCAACUCUGGCCUUUGUCUUUCUAACUAACAGAUAGAGCCACUUCUUCUGUUAUCUUAAUGACCCAUACUUGGCCCAUUACCCAGAAACACCACUGGCUAUUCCAGCAAUUGAAUCCCUGUUGGAUCCAGGAAUUAGAAGGAACUCAGGAAUGCAGUCUAUCCCCCAAAUCACAAGACCUGGGGUGUGUGUGUGACAGAAUGGUAGAGUUGGAAGGGGCCACAAUAGACAUCUAGGGUUGCCAUUUUGAAGACUAAAAAAAAAGAGGACAUGUCCUGGAAAAAGAGGACAUAUGGCAACCCUAAUAUUCCAACUUCCUGAAGUGCAGGAAUCUUUUGCCCAAUGUGGGGCUCAAACCCACGACCUUGAGUUUAAGAAUCUCACACUCAGUCGGUCCCAGGGAGUGAUAUAGAAGAUAGGGAAUAUCUUUUCCCAAUGAGCUUCCACUAGCAGAGUCAUACAAACCUUUUACAAACAGAUUCCCUGCUGUGAGUGCAUUAGAACAACAGUUCAUAUUACUAUAUACCGUAUUUUUUGCACCAUAACACUCACUUUUUUCCUCCUAGAAAGUAAGGGGAAAUGUCUGUGCGUGUUAUGGAGGGAAUGCCUACGGGUGGCAGGGGGGAUCUGCUGCAGUCGUGAGCAGAGGAUCCAUGGUUCCCCUUCCUUCCCUCCUCCGUGGCUCGCUUUGAAGCAGCAAAGCAGGAGAAGAGCCCCUGAGGGGGAGGAAAGAGGGACAGAAAGCCUGCUUGCUUUAAAGGAGCAAAGCGGGAGAGGAGAGGAGCCUUCUCCCCUUAUACCCCUCUUCUUCAUUAUUAGGAGCAUCCUUCUCCACCCACCCCACGCAUGCUCCUUGUCCCUUGAGUGCUUUUCCUUCCCUCCCCACUUAAAACGUGGUUACAAAGCACGGAUCCACAUGGAUCCUCAGGAUUUUUGCACUGGGUCACCCCAAAUUCACCAUCAGAUCACAUAGCAUGUCCAUGGCUACAUCUUGCACCAAAAAAAUAACUCACCCACUGUUGCCUUGGGCCGCAGUGGUGCAAAAACGUGGUUACAAAGCAUGGAUCCACAUGGAUCCUCAGGAUUUUUGCAUUGGGCUACUCCAAACUCACUGUCAGAUCACAUGUCUGUGGCCACAGCAUGAACCACAAAAAUCACACAUCCACUGUUUCGUUUAGAAUAUUUUUUUCCUUGUUUUCCUCCUCUAAAAACUACGUGCGUGUUAUGGUCGGGUGCGUGUUAUAGAGCAAAAAAUACAGUAGUUUUAGAAGUUUAUCAUUAUUUUGAAUGACACAGUGCUUCCUUGCAGGCAUAAAAUCAGUGUGUUCUGCAUCUAAGAAACUGACCCUAAUUCAGCAAAGCUGAGGGUGGAUCUGAGUGAUCUGACUGUGAGAGGGAAAGUGCAGAAAGAGCUAAAACUUGGUGUCUUGUAUGUGCAUGUUUUAGAAAAGGGCACGACAGCCCAGGAGGAAAUAUUAAGAGAGCAGCAUGCUGGUGAGAUGGCAAUGGAAGAGAAUGGAGCAAAACUAGACUAGAGGAAACAUUAGGUAAAGGUAAAGGGACCCUUGACCAUUAGGUCCAGUCGUGACCGACUCUGGGGUAGCGGCGCUCAUCUUGCUUUAUUGGCUGAGGGAGCCGGCAUACAGCUUCCGGGUCAUGUGGCCAGCAUGACUAAGCCACUUCUGGAGCAGCGCACGGAAACGCCAUUUACCUUCAGGUAGGUUAAAACCUGUUAUAAGGAAAGGGAGAAUUGAUGAUGAGGAUUAAACUUUUAAAAUAUGUUCCUAAGAGGAGAAAGAAUUUUAGGAUAAUUCUCUGUUCUGAACAACAGCAGUGGAACAUGAGCAGUGGGACUGUUGUUGCCAUGCUAAACGGCUGGAGCACACCUUGUUGGAGGAGUUUUUGCGGUUGAAAGCUAACUUCUGUUGUGCUCACAACCUGCAAAGCUCUGCUUUCACAUCAGAGGCCUGGAUAAAGUUUGGUAUAUAUGUAAAGGCUGCUCCACACAAUAUGCAUUUCCUGCACAAUAGAUGUUGUGUGUCACUAUAGAUUUACAGAUUGUGAUUUAGCCUCAUCUACGAUGAACAGGUUGUUACAGAAAUCCUCUGCCCUGUUGAAAUUGGUGGAACUCAGAAAUAGGUGCCAAGGUCCCUUCCCCACCCCCGAAAAUAUUUGAGGUCGGGUCACCCCAAAGUUGGUGGGCAUUGCCAUUCAAUUUGUGUGCCUGCACCAUGGCAUGUGAUCGAUUAUGUCAGGCGGGGCUUACCUGCCCCCUCCAAUAUUUUAUUCAAGUUGGCACCCCUGAACUCAGCUGCGCUGCACUGUUCUCUUUUGAUUGCUCCCAUUGAGAUGAAUGGGAAUCAUCUAAUGGGAAGAAGGACUGCGGCUGCAUUCUUGCAAAACCUGCAGCUAAUGAGGCAUGCAUGCACAUAGUGGACAUUUGGUUUUUUAAAAACAGUAACCCCCGGCUUGCCAUUUAAAGUCUCACAUGGCGUGUGCUCCUUGGACCUACCUACAGAAGCUAUUCUGAAGCUAAAGAAACAACAGUAUAGUAGCCUAGGUGUUUUGCAAAGCCAUCUGUGAUCUUGCUUUUGCAACAAGUGUUAGGCUGGAUCCAGGCACUAAAAAUAUAUAUAUCAGGAAAACGCAUUGUAAACCUCAAAAUGGGAAAUUGCAUUGCCGAAAGACGGGAACUCCAUAGCGCCAUCUGGUGUCACAUUUAAGACGCUUUCUUUUACUAAUGCUGAUGAGUCCCUAGACAACGUUUCGAAGGUAAAAGAAGAAAAAAAUCUGCUAAACAAGCCGCAGUCUAAUAAAGUAGGUACAAAUGCAAGCAGACAUAUAGAUACAUGUGAUCCCCUCUGCUCCCCACCCCAGUGGUUGGAAUCCAGCAUGAUUUCAUUGACUUUGCUGGAGAUACGGCUGAUUUACUGUGAGAUUGGAAUCAGGUUCCAUGAAUGCAACUUAUUUCAAAACAUGACCAGAGGGGAAGAGGGUGAAAAAUAUCUAGAAUUAAAAAUAGUGUUGCACAUCUUGACAUUUUUCACAUUGUUGGGUUCCAAAUAGUUUUAACUAUAACCGUGGUCAGACCUCAGGAAUGCCUCCUCAGUGAAGGACUUCUGUUGCAGAGCUUUUUGGCAACCCUCCUGGCUUUAUAAUCAGCAUUUUCUCCAGUAUCGUUUUUAUACGUUUGAGGGUUUCUUUCUGCAGCGAGUGCAGCUACUGUUCACCGGAAUCUCUGCGCAAAGGGCUAAGCAUGUUUAGAAGUCAAGCCAUCAGCAAGGAGGCCCUAAAGCUCUUAGUAUUAGGAACCAGGCCAUUAGCAUCCGGAUCUGAAAACUGCAGCCAAGGUUGGGACUGUUGUUCCUUGUGUUUUUCUUUCCCCCUUAUCAAGAAACUAGAUUCCAUUUUUGCAGGAAACAGGCUGCAUUCUCGUUGCUCCAUAUUUUUAAUGACCCCUAGAGAAACGUUGUCAGAACAUAUUUCUCCAACUGGCUAAGGCAAACGCUUUUACUGCCACCACACUCCGAAGUACAAAAACACUGCUUGCCAUUUUAUCAAGGAAAGAGAGCUCCACGCCCACCGCUCCACAUUUUUAAUUUAUACAUUUUCUUCUCUCAUGCGUAGAAAACCCACAAACAUUUUUCUCUUUUUCCCUCUUUCCUAUUUUUCAUUCCGGUUGAAACUAUCGUUUACUGUAUUUCCAUGUGUGUCUUUUCAUUUAAAAAAAAGCCUAUUUUUUUCUGGAUAAAAAAAAUUAUUUGGGUCUGAAUGUGUGAAAUGUUCUAUGGAAGAGAGAAGUUAAGUGAUGGUGUAAAUGCAUUGUGUGUAUGUAUUCUAAAAUUUAAAUAGAUUGUACAUAUUGGAUUGUAAAUGAACUGUAAACAAGCAAUAUAUAUUUUCUUGAACAUAUAUAGUGGUAUAUAUUUGUUAAAUAAGCAAACUUGUAUACUCUUAAUUAACCUUUUAAAUAUUUUGUACAGAUAAGUUUAUUAAAUAUUUUAUUG